UACAGAGGGUGCAAGCGUUAAUCGGAAUUACUGGGCGUAAGGCGUGCGUAGACGGUCAUGUAAGUCGGGUGUGAAAGCCCCGGGCUCAACCUGGGAAUUGCAUUCGAGACUGCAUGGCUAGGGUGCGGAAGAGGGAAGCGGAAUUUCCGGUGUAGCGGUGAAAUGCGUAGAUAUCGGAAGGAACACCAGUGGCGAAAGCGGCUUCCUGGUCCAGCACCGACGUUCAGGCACGAAAGCGUGGGGAGCGAACAGG
rnacentral:rRNA from 1 species